AGGCUGCGUUCCAAAAGGAACCGUUCAGAUAUCUGGUAAUUGUGCUUGGCUGAAGAGCCAGUGGUGUGAAGCUGCCUUCUGUGGGAUUAUGACUGAGCACCUAUGAGUGCGAAUCCCCCCU
rnacentral:ncRNA from 1 species